rnacentral:lncRNA from 1 species
GGUUUUGAUGUGCAUCUCUCUAAUGAUGAGUGAUGCUGAACAUCUUUUCAUGUGUUUUUUGGCCGUCUGUAUGUCUUCUUUGGAGAACUGUCUGUUUAGAUCUUCUGCCCAUUUUUUGAUGGGGAUGUUUGGUUUUUUGGUACUGAGUGGUAGGAGGUGUUUAUAAAUUUUAGAGAUUAAUCCCUUGUCAGUUGAUUGAUUUGCAAAGAGUUUCUCCUAUUCUGUGGGUUGUCUUUUCGUUUUGUUUAGGGUUUCCUUUUCUGUGCAGAAACUUAUAAGUUCAAUUAGGUCCCAUUUGUUUAUUUUUGUUUUUGCUGUCAUUACUCUAAGAGGUAGAUCUGAGAAGAUGUUGCUGUCGUUUAUGUCAGAGAGUGUUUGGCCUAUGUGUUCCUCUAAGAGUUUGAUAGUAUCUGGUCUUAUGUCUAGGUCUUUAAUCCAUUUUGAAUUUAUUUUUGUGUAUGGUGUUAGGGAGUGUUCUAAUUUCAUUCUUUUCCAUGUGGCUGUUUAGUGUUCCCAGCACUACUUAUUAAACAGGCUGUCUUUUCUUAGAACUGGUUUUGAUGAGAACAAACAAGAACAAUAAAAAGAUUGUUACCCUAAAUUAGCAGUGAUCAUUGAGUGCCACUCUAUUACUUUAAUGAUUGCCUGUGUGUGGGGGGGGAUUAUAAAACUGGGGAGGGAAGGAAAGAGCUACGGCAUAAUUUAGCCAGAGGUCUCCCCUCCUGGCCAAACGCUUUCCUUCUUUUGUCCCAGAAGCCACAAUCCCAAGCCCAGGCUUCUUGACCGCCAGGGAAAAUCAUUUGAGUUGCUCUGGUGUGACAAAGACUGUGGACAUCAAGCCUGGUUUGUUUUCAGAGAUGGCAGCAAAGAUGAAACUCGGAAAACAGGAUGGGGAUGAUUCUUUGGAGACCCUUUGAAAUGUCAAACGCUUUUCCUUGCCCUGCUCCUCCUUGUGUUACAGGCUUUGCAGUAUAAUGAGUUUUUGGGACAAAACUUCUGCCCGGGACUCAACGUCACAACAAACAAUACCUGUAGCUUCGCAAUAUGUACUGGCGCCGAGUAUUUGGAAAACCAGGGCAUCAGUCUCUCCGCUUGGGGCCUGUGGCAGAAUCACGUGGCCUUGGCGUGCAUGAUGGUCAUUUUCCUGACGAUCGCCUACCUGAAACUGCUACUCCUCAAAAAAUACUCCUAAAUUCCCCUCUAGGUUACACCACUUACCCCCCAUUAAAGAGAAAGCAUUCUGGUUU